ensembl:snRNA U6 U6 spliceosomal RNA
GUGCUUGCUUCAACAGUACAUAUACUAAAAUUGGAAUGAUACAGAGAAGAUCAGCGUGGCCCCUGCUCAAGGAUGACAUGAAAAUUUAUGAAGCGUUCCAUAUUUUU